rnacentral:lncRNA from 1 species
CUUCAGCGAAUGUGGGCAGCCUAUGUGGCCUGUCGCCUGGAGCCAAUCCAGCCAAAGCACUAGGCAUGGCCAGGUGCUGUAGCAGUGGAGGCCUCUACUUUGAGUCUGUGUCAUUGUGAGCGGGGGUUGCCACCAGCUGUCACAGCCCUGAGAACAAUACCUUUUGCCCUUCAGGAUCUUGAAGCAGGAGCACCCUGAGCUGGCAGUGCUUGCCGACGCUGUUGACCUCCAAGAGUCCACAGGCAUCGCCUCUGACAGCUCCAGUGACUCUUCUAGCUCCUCCAGCUCCAGCUCGUCGGACUCAGACUCGGAGUGUGAAUCUGGGUCAGAAGGUGAUGGGACAACACAUCGCAGGAAGAAGAGGAGAACUUGCAGCAUGGUGGGAAAUGGGGACACUACCUCACAGGAUGACUGCGUGAGCAAAGAGCGCAGUUCCUCCAGGUGACCACAUGUGGCCGCUGUCUGUGCAAGGCUGUGCUUGCAGCAAGGCUUAGGAGGGCUGACACCCAGAGAACAAGGACACUGAGAUGGGAGUUGGUAGCAUUUGGUACAGUGGCUUUUCUCCAUGGUCAUAUCUUAGGGGCAAAGGUGUGUGGAUGGUGCCAACGAAACCCUUUACCUAUUUAAUAAAGACGAAUACAUUUUAUAUUGUGGACAGCUUCCUUUGGGC